rnacentral:rRNA from 1 species
AGAUGCACGGGGGGACUCUACGGGGGCAGCAGUGGGGAAUAUUGCACAAUGGGCGCAAGCCUGAUGCAGCCAUGCCGCGUGUAUGAAGAAGGCCUUCGGGUUGUAAAGUACUUUCAGCGGGGAGGAAGGCGAUGCGGUUAAUAACCGCGUCGAUUGACGUUACCCGCAGAAGAAGCACCGGCUAACUUCGUGCCAGCAGCCGCGAUCAC